GCCAAACUUAUUAAUCGCCCCCUAAACGCGCUGUGCUUUAGCUGGAAAAGGGGGUCUCCGUCCUCCCGUGCUGCUCGUCGGCGACUGUUGUGAGAAGAAGCCGCUCAGUGAGGGUUGGCGCUGGGUGACAGCUGAUCUGAUGGCACAUCAACACUGCUUGACAAAAGUUCUCAUCAGAUGUUUCUACCACAGUGAGCUGUUUCCUAUAUGGAUCAUUUCAUGCCAACUCGCCUGUCCAGUCACAGGAUGGAUCUGUGAACAAAGUGAUGUAACCAUGCAACAUUUCAGAUUUGUGCUCAAAUUAAUGUAGUAAGGGUUCUAAAUCAGGUUACUGUAUCACUUAAAUAUCAGAGUUUAACAGAUUACAGAAUGACUGACAUCAGAUGAAAUACUAACUGGGUAUAAAUACAACACUAAGAGUAACAUUUCACUUUGUCAUCUGUUUUCAUGUUCGUAAAUGACCACAACACGCUCGUAUACUAUAUAGGCUGUACUGCAGGGCAGAUUUGGAAAUAUUUAUAUUUA